rnacentral:hammerhead_ribozyme from 1 species
AUUUAACUGACGAAUCCCAAAUAGAACGAAAUGUGAGUCAUGGAU